GCAAGGUUAAAGAUGUGAGUCUAAUUUUAUUCUCCGAAUCCUAUGAAAAUAAAACAUGCAUUCUUGCCACUUACUCGUACAAGAUGUGACAUGGAUUAGUUUUCUCUGCCUAGAAAAUAAAUUGUUUUCUUUGAUUAUAGACCAUGUUAAAGAAGUAUCCUUUUUUAUGUCCUAGCAUUUUCAUGGAAAAGCAUGAAUGUUUCCCUCAAUGCAAAGUAUUUGGGAUGCUGCUCAAUUGGAUUACAUCCCAACAAACCCAUCAAUGACUUCAAAGCUGAGCCUCUUCCAAAGGAGGCAGUCACCAGUGCCUAAAAAUAAAGGUGGUUUCAGUUGUUUUUGUUUUAAUCUAGACUAGAAUGCUACUGAAAAUAGUAACAUUCUCU